rnacentral:lncRNA from 1 species
AAUUAUAAUUUUAUAAUCCAUCCUAUUUCAGGUUUGUAUUUAAUUAUCGAUUCCAUGAUUAUUAAUAAGUCAAAGUCUUAUCUUCACAGAUCAUAAUUCACAAAUCACAACCAUACACUCUUAAAUUCUUAAUAAUAAUAAUAAUAAAGAAGCAACAGGUAGCAACCCAACAAGGAGAAAAGUGAGGAAGACGAUUCUAAUGGAUGGUCUCAUUCCAUAUUUGCUGAGAAGAGUCAGGAAAAAGAGAUCAAGAAAAUUCUUCAACAGGUACCAACAUCUCCGCCCCUCUCCCCCACCAUCAACAGAAGAUGUAAGAGGCCACUGGAGGAGUAGAUCGAUGGAGGAUUUCUCAACUUAUUUUUCUCCUCCUCCAUUGGAGGAUAAAGGUGGAAGCUUUAGGAUCAUGGGCUGCAUCUCUGGUGUUUAGAGAAAAAAAAAUGGGGGGAGUUAUAUAUUUUUCAAUUUUGUUUCUGUUCAUUUAACUAGUAAACUCACAUAAAAGACUCUUUGGUCAGUGAUUACCUUAGCUCUUGGGGGAUCAUCUUUAAGUACGCUCUAUUAUUCAAUUCUGUUAACGCGAACCUCCUUUCUCGAAGGGACACCCGUCAAAGAUUUGACAACCGUCUCGUCGGACGACCAUGACGACUCUUAGCAUCCUCUAGAUUUCUCGUCGGACAUGGGGAGAUUCCGACUCUUUUUUUUUGAAGCAAUUAAAUUUCAUUAAAAUAAGGCUAAUGUCAAGUUUACAAAAAAUAAAGUAUAUAAAUAGAAGUAAAAAGAAAUUAACAAAAAAACUUAUUGACUCUCUUCCAUUAGCUAUAUAUUUUAGUUACAUAAGACUAAUGUCCACAUAGUUAUAUCUGUCCAAAUAGUUAUAUAGUAACUAAAUACGUUGUCUCAGGAGGUUGGUCUUUCAUAUUUCAAAUUUCCGACCUUGCUUAGUGUACAAAAGGGGAUUACAUUAAUUUAAAUAUUUUAGUAAUUAGGUACCAUUUAUUUAUCUUUCCAUUUGAGUAAGAACUAUUAGAAAACGAUUCAUGUAAGAUUAAUUUUGAGAUAUUAUAUAAGAUAUCUUCAAUUCUAUCGUUAAUUUUA